AUUGAACGCUGGCGGCAUGCCUUACACAUGCAAGUCGAACGGUAGAGGGGGGCAACCCCUUCGAGAGUGGCGAACGGGUGAGUAAUGCAUCGGAACGUGCCCAGUCGUGGGGGAUAGCCCGGGGAAACCCGGAUUAAUACCGCAUACGACCUGAGGGUGAAAGCGGGGGACUCGCAAUGGCCUCGCGCGCUUGGAGCGGCCGAUGUCGGAUUAGGUAGUUGGUGGGGUAAAGGCCUACCAAGCCUGCGAUCCGUAGCUGGUCUGAGAGGACGACCAGCCACACUGGGACUGAGACACGGCCCAGACUCCUACGGGAGGCAGCAGUGGGGAAUUUUGGACAAUGGGGGCAACCCUGAUCCAGCCAUGCCGCGUGCGGGAAGAAGGCCUUCGGGUUGUAAACCGCUUUUGUCAGGGAAGAAAUGUCCUGGGCUAAUACCCUGGGGGGAUGACGGUACCUGAAGAAUAAGCACCGGCUAACUACGUGCCAGCAGCCGCAGUAA
rnacentral:rRNA from 1 species